CUAAUACAACUUUCAACAACGGAUCUCUUGGCUCUCGCAUCGAUGAAGAACGCAGCGAAAUGCGAUAAGUAAUGUGAAUUGCAGAAUUCAGUGAAUCAUCGAAUCUUUGAACGCACCUUGCGCCCUUUGGUAUUCCGAAGGGCACACCU
rnacentral:rRNA from 1 species